UGAGUUUGAUUGCUUGUCUUGCAGAAAUUAAAAAUGCAUGUGAAAAGGUGCAUUGUUCAAAAAAUUAUGUAAGCAUGUGAAAGGAUGUUUCUGCAUUAUUCUACUACGAAUAUGGUGGGCAAGGGGAUGUCCAAACCCUUCUUCUUAUCGUCGAGUUUUUAUCAAAGAGAACAAAGCUUAAUGAUUCAAACAGUAUUUAAGGCGUCAUGGAGCUUCCAUUGAGGAUGCAGUCGCCAUACUUGUUGAGAUCCUUACCAUCUUGAAACUCGCCAUCUAUCAACCAGAAGAUAUUCCCUUGCUCUUCAGUCUUUACAUUCGCUGACAUUCGAAACGUACACAUAUAUAGCCUCUGCAUGUAUGAUUAACCUCCAUUCACUGGUGGUCUUGGUAUGCCUACACAAGAAGAAAGGGUAGGUAAGUAUACUCAAGUAACAGGCGUGAGGCAUAGAAGGCCAUUGAGCAAACUGGUAAACCUGAAGGACCUCCUACAACUGACGGUGGUGGUUAAGUUGCGGUGUCAGAUAAGAAUAAAGAGAACCAGGACGAUGAUGCUUGCUUUGAAACAGUGAUUUGGCAUGAUCAAACUUUCUUAUAACUUUUUGUAGGAGGUUGGAUGGGACACCAUGGAAAUAAAAACACUUGUUAAUCAUAUUCGGGAGCCUCAGGUUGUUUUUCAAACUCUGAGUGAGGUUGACAUACUGUAUGAUGGCUAAUUAUAUGUGGCCUAAGUAUGGGCAGAAAGUCGCAAGGGGAAACCCAAAUCCCAGGAAUACUACAAGUGCACAACCCCUGGAUGCCCAGUGACAAAACACGUGGAGAGGAAUCACAUGAUCCAAAAGCUGUAAUAACAACAUACGAAGGCAACCACAAUCAUGAUGUCCCCACUUCGAAGUCUAGCAGGGAUCAUGACACCAAGCCUCGGUUCAGACCAGAUGAAACAGACACCAUCAGCCUCAAUCUUGGUGUUGGAAUCUCGUCUGAUGGACCUGACUACAGCCACCACACGUAAAUAUUCUCGUCAAAAUAGUGAAAGGGUGAUAAAGAGAAACCGAGAUCGCAUGGAUAAUUUGUUUAAGCGUUCAACUUCACACCUCGUAUGUUAAAAUCAAACUGUUCGAGUAAGCCCGAGAAAAAGGCAGAGAUAUACCAAACUCCGAACCAAUGAAUUUGUGAAAGAGAGACAGAUAGGAAUAUAGACAGGGCAACGAAAACCGCAAAAUCAAAUUCAAUCCGGAAAUAAACAGAUACGAUGACUAAAGUGUAAUUGAUCCAAA